rnacentral:tRNA from 1 species
GUACAAGGGGUUUUGGGCCCUUAGGUACAGGUUCGUGUCCUGUUUCUCUAAAA